GACGGAACCGGUCAGGCUCGGCUUCAACACGCAAUACACAGUCUCAGAGCCAGUUUAACUGUGAUCAGUUUACGACUUACUUCCAUUUAUUGUUGGAUUUAAGACUCUUAAAAAUAUUUGUUGACUAUUUUUCUCCCUCUCCUAUUGGAGAGAAGUUUAGUAAAUUGUGGUUAACGAUUGUUAAUUAGCGCAUAUAUUUAAUUAGAGCUAAUUGUUAAACUUAAUUGAGACAAAUUCGUCAUUGACCAUUGCAACAUGGCUUCUCCAUCAACUGCAGUGCUGUUAUUAGCGCUGGUAUGUCUGGGGACAGCCAGUGCUGCGAGUUCUGGAGCACCAGGCCUGAAAUGCUUCUGCCCCGGAGUCUACAAGCCAGUCUGCGGCUCUGAUGGCCUGGUGUACUCCAACGCCAAAUGUAUGUUCUGCGCCAACUCAACCCUGACGGUUGUCAAACAUGGAACAUGUACUCCGACAUAUUAUAAUAUAAACGACUAUUAAAUAAAAUUAAAUGACUAUUAAAUGUUUAUUUCUU